rnacentral:rRNA from 1 species
AUGAUGCCAUCACUUAAGGUAGAUUUGAAAAACUAUUUGCUUGGACAUGAUCAUACACACCCUGUUAGUGGCAUUGCUCAUAUCUCUGUUCAUGAUACUUAUGUUCCUGAUGCUAUACCCAUGCUUAAUGAAACGUGUGAUUCUAAUACUAGCAUUGAGCUUACUGAUUUGUACCAUCCUAAACAUGUGCUUUAUAGCUAUGCUUAUGUAAUUGGAUAUUCGAUUGAUGACUUGGAGGGUAUUAUCCCUACCACUUGCAUUAUCUCUUUCGUUGAGUGCUCUUUCAGGUUCUUGCUUGUGCACGAUCCACUACAUGCUGACCAAGUUCAAGAUGACAUUCCCUGGGACCCCGGUGGACCUAUGGCAUGGGGAUGA